AAAAUGCGAUACUUGGUGUGAAUUGCAGAAUCCCGUGAACCAUCGAGUUUUUGAACGCAAGUUGCGCCCGAAGCCAUCCGGCUGAGGGCACGCCUGCCUGGGCGUCACGCAUCGCGUCGCUCCCCACCAUACCUCCCCAACGGGUUGGCAUGGUGUUGGGGGCGGAUAAUGGCCUCCCGUGCUUGUGUUUCGGUUGGCCUAAAUAAGAGUUCCCUUCGGCGGACACACGACUAGUGGUGGUUGAAUAGACCCUCGUCUUUUGUUGCGUGUCGUGAGCUGUAAGGGUAGCCCUCAUCAAAGACCCCAUUGUAUCGUCUUCGGAUGAUGCUUCGACCGCGACCCGAGGUCAGGCGGGACUACCCGCUGAGGUUAAGC
rnacentral:misc_RNA from 1 species